CUGAAAAUAAAGGAAUUGCAUUUAAGGAAAUAUUUUUGUAGAUUCAGUAAUCACUUGAAAGUGUGCUAGUUCGUAGAAUAUGCAGUUUCAAAAUCAGCAAAACAACAAAGACUCCAUGGGCAGGAGAUAAUAUAACGCGUUAAUAAAAUGUUCGACAUCUUUAUUAAAUGCAUGACGGUUGCGAAAUUUUCGUGUAUUUUAAGGGCGGAUUUCCUGAGACAGGGGCGGCGGAAAGUCGAUAACUGGGGGGCUGAUAUUCAUAUAUUCGUGUUCACAGACUGUAAAAACA